rnacentral:lncRNA from 1 species
UUUUUUUUUUUUUUUAAUUUGGUUGAACCUGCAGCAUGCAGAAAUUCCCAGGCCAGGGACUGAACCCAUGCCACUGUAGCAACCACAACCACUGCAGUGACAACAUUGGAUGCUUAAACCACUGAGCCAUAUGGGAACUCCUCAAAGUUACUAUUGACUUCAUCAGGAUGAGGCUAGCUAUGUGCUUAAGUAAUAAUUGAAGUAAGGAUGAGAAAUAAAUUUUACGGAAAGUAAGAAUAAUACUAUGCCUUAUCUAUAAGAUCCCAAACCAGAAUAUAUUUGAAAAUAUUUGAGUGACUGACUUUUUUUUUUUUACUUUUCGUCUUCAUUAGUGAUACUAUGCAGCUAUCUAUAGUUUGGUAUCUCUAACCACCAGAUAACAGUUGUGAUGACCAAAAAUGCCUCUAGACACUGCCAAAUGUCCUCUGGGGUAGGAGAGAAAUCACCCCUGGUUGAGAUCCACUGUUCCAUAGUAAGUUAUUACUACCCAAAUAUUUUGAUUAUCUUUUUAACUGUUACCUAUUACCAUGGCCACAUUAAUCAUGCCAGGAUUCACAAUGAUCACAAUGAUUAAAGAAAUUACAGAUUUACCCUGGCACUCAGGAUUACUAUCAUACUAUUAGACAGAGCCUGGGUAUGUUAAAGGAAAAAAAUUCCUAUAAUUAGAAAAAUAAAAGAUUACACAAAAAGAGCAAAGACUUUGGUUGUACACUGGAAUGAAAUUACAUUCAUUUGUUGAAGUGGUCUGAACGACUCAAAAAUACACAGCAGCUGUUAUUCACUUAGCUACAACAUAGCUGAUAUUAACACACAUUUUGAAAAGGAGGGCUGUUGCUUCAUAGAACAAUUCUGCUGAUAUUUAAGAAGCAAUGUCAGUGACUCAUCAGACAGUCAGGCAUGACUUCUUCCCCUUCAAUGUUCCUUAUCAUUUUUCUCAUUGCCUUUUUUACUUCAACACAUGUUCAAUGGCAGCCACAAUCAAAAUUCUGUUGCAAAAUUAAGUAUCUUACUUUUAUUUCACAUAAAUAAAUUAUAAAUGAUCAUAGUUAAAAACAUAAAUAAUAAAUACUCUCUGCAUCACCAUUCUUCUAGCUUGUAGUGAUUUUUAUUUCAUCACUGUGAAUGGUGGAUGGUCUUUUGUCUCUUCUAAAUGUCCCAAUCUUUGUGGGAUAAUUAAAUAUGACCCAAAAGCAAAAUAAAGUUUAAGAGGAUUUUUUUCUCAUAUAUGCAUCCCUCAUUUGUACUAUUGUUCUCCAAUUUCCUUUUGAAACUUGCAAAAAUGACAUGUGAGUUUAAAAACUUACUUAGCUUAAAAUGGCUCCUUUUUUAAAAAAGGCAAACACUGUAGUGGGAUGCUGGGAUUGCAUUCAUCCCAGCAUGCCCCACCACUGUUCUUUGGAUGGCAAUCACAGGACCCAGACAUCAAGCUGUGGAGGAGAUUCUUCCAAGCAACAGCAUCUGGCUCUUUGGCAAACUGAAAAGGCAGUUGCUCUGGUGGCUUUGGAGUUGCCUCUGGGUCUGUCACAGGGUAAGGCUAUGGAUGGAGUGUCUGGAUUCUCAUCUUCUUUUCGUUACCAUCUUUCUCACAUACCUUUUGACAUCAAGAGACUCACAAACUUCUAUAAAGCAAUUACUGCCCUCCUUAAAUGUAAUGAAUAUCUACAUAAUCCCUAUUGUACUUCAAGAAGUAGUCCUUUCCAUUGCCCCAUGCCUUAUGAAAGUGUAAAAAUAGGCGAGCAUUCUGGCAGCAGCAACACUAGCAUUCUAUUUCAUACCCCACCUGCAGAGAGAAUCAGAAAUUAAAUGUUCUAUUUUCAGCCCUAGAUAUUUUAGGCCUGCAUUUUCACCUUCUUUAUUUGCAACAGAUCUCUUUGCCAGUUAAAUUUAAUAAAGUCAUAUUUAUAAUAUGAAUAGCUACCUAAUCUCAUGGAAACUUUUUUUUUCUUCCUCAAGAUUUCAAUCUAAUCUGGCAAGGUGGUAUAAGGACUAUAGGGGCUUAGUUUGAAGAAUUCAUGGCACUUUAAAAUCAUAAGUGCAGUCCCUGGAACAAACAAACACUUUGAACACAAGAACUGGCAGCUCUAGAACAAAAGGGUUCUCAUAUCCUCUUAGCUGUAAAGGAAAUUAAAAAGACCAAAUUUGGAAAGUAAAUAGUGCAUUUUUCAGAUGUUUUUAGGUUUUUUUUUUUAAAAAAAAGCAACCUUCUAAACACUUUGUACCACAGAUAUUAAUGAAUAUGGUCUCUCUACAGACUACAAACUAUGUAUGUAUGACUCUGAAAUCACACUUAAAAGGUAAAAUAACUACUGGUGAAGAGAUGGAUCAAAGACUCUACUGGGUCCAGACAAGGCAAAGAUCGUAAGUUUGCUUUAUAAGAGGCAGCAUUUAAUUCCUCCUGUUAGAAUUCAUCAGAAAAAAAGGGAGGCUUUAUACACUGACCACUUUUUUUUGCCGUGCUCAUGGCAUGUGGAAGUUCCCAGGAUGGAACCAGAACCACAGAAGUAACAAUGCUGGAUCUGAGACCACUAGGCCACCAGGGAACUCCUACACUGUCUACCUCUAUGGAAACUCAGUUCUAAUUUAUCAUUUGAGCACAGCCAAUAACUCCAUCAAUGACCAAUGGAAAAAUCCAUGGAAUUUCUGUUUUAUGAAUGGACAGCAAAUUAAGAAGAAGGGAGAGGAAGUUCCCUUGUGGAGCGAAGCAGGUUAAAGAUCUGGUGUUACUGCUAUGGCUCUAAUUCCAUCCCCGGCCUGGGAACUUGCACACGCCACGGGCACCGCCAUUUAAAAAGAAAGAAAAAAAACAAGAGGAAUAGGAAGGAAAAGAGAGUCUUUAUAAGACUUUGUAUUUGAGUGUAAAUUGUUACUGUGGAAAUCCUAAAUUCGCAGGGAAAUAAAAUCCAUCAACUUCAAGGUCUCACAAGUAGUUGAAGCUAAAAAGCCAAACACAAACAAAUAAAUAGGCAAUGACUACGUCUAGCCCAGAAAACGAGACUUAAAAAGUAAUUCUUAUUAUAAUUAUUGUGAAUACUUUUUUUUCAUUCUCUUAGAAAUAAGAUAAAAAUGUAAUGAUGUCACACACACAUAUAGUCUCUAGAUACUGGAUAGAGGUAAAUCUCAAGCUUGUGUUUAUUCGCAUUUAAAAAAUUAUCUUGGAGUUCCCAUCGUGGCUCAGUGGUUAAUGAAUCUGACUAGGAACCAUGAGGUUGUGGGUUCGGUCCCUGGCCUUGCUAGUGGGUUAAUGAUCUGGCGUUCCCGUGAGCUGUGGUGUAGGUUGCAGAUGCGGCUCGGAUCCCAUGUUGCUGUGGCUCUGGUAGGCCUGCAGCAACAGCUCUGAUUAGACCCCUAGCCUGGGAAUCUCCAUAUGCUGCGGGAGUGGCCCAAGAAAUGGCAAAAAGAUUUUAAAAAAUAAAAAAACAAAAAAAUUUAAAAAUAAAAUAAAAAAUUAUCUUCUACUUAAGAGCACAUAAUCUGUCCAAAUAUAUAGUAAAAUGUUAAAAUAAAAAAUAAAAAUAAAAAAUAAAAAAAGUAAAAUGUACACUCGGUUGCCUUCUGAUUUUAUUUUAUUUUAUUUUUAUUUUUAUUUUUAUUUUUUGUCUUUUUGCUAUUUCUUUGGGCCGAUCCCACGGCAUAUGGAUAGGGGUAGAAUCAGAGCUGUAGGCACUGGCCUACACCAGAGCCACAGCAACAUGGGAUCCAAGCCGCGUCUGCAACCUACACCACAGCUCACGGCAACGCUGGAUCAAACGCCGGAUCGUUAACCCACUGAGCAAGGGCAAGGACCGAACCCACAACCUCAUGAUUCCUAGUCGGAUUCGUUAACCACUGCGCCACGACGGGAACUCCCUUCUGAUUUUAUUUUUUAGAAACAAAUCAAACUGGAACAUUAAGAGUCAUCUACUUUUGUCAUUUAAUGCAAACAACUCCUACAGCUUUCCCUAGGAACACUGCUGGGGAUGAUCAACACAAGUACGUACAACUUUGAGUAACUGACAAAUCUCUUCAUGCUUAAUUUUUGUCCCUGAGAAUCUUCUAUUCUCUAGAAAAUAGAAAAAUCAAGACAAUUUCUGCCCUCAUAUUUGGGAUGGUGAAUUUUCUAGAAGGGAGUGAAUAAUGUCAAGUUUUAGAUCGAAUUCUUUUUAUAACUAUUUGAUUCUGCUUUGAACGAGGAAAAAAAUUAAUUUAGUUUCUGGUCCUGAGCAUGAUUCUCCAGGCAUAAACUCCUGACAACUGCAUAGUAGGUCCCUAAAUAUGUUUGCUGAAUGAAUAAACAAAUGAAUGAAUAUGAGUUCAUGUUAACAAUCAACUUUUUAAAAAAAUACUUGUGCUCUGGAGACUUCCUGGAUUGAUAAUCACACAUCUAUUAAUUAAUUUUUUUUAGGGCCAAACCCACAGUAUAUGGAAGUUCCCAGGCGAGGGGUCAAAAUGGAGUUGCAGCUGCGGCCCUACACCACAGCCACAGCAAGGCCAGAUCAGAGCUGCGUCUGCGACCUAUGCCACAGCUCAUGGCAAAAAGUGGGAUCCUUAACCCACUGAGCGAGGCCAGGGUUCAAACCCACAUCCUCAUGGAUUGGAUAUUAGUCGGGUUUAUUACCACUGAGCCAGGACAGGAACUCUGAUAAUUGCACAUCUUUAGAGAAAUCAGAAAUUCCAAUAGAAAAUUUUGCACAUGAAAAAUAUUCAUCCAUCCUGCUAUGUGUGAAUAAGUUGGUUGAUGGACCAAACUGAUCCAAAUGCACAAUUGGAUUUAAGACUAUGUAAAUUGUUAAUUUUGCAAUGUAAAGUAUUUUUUGCUUUUAUAGGAAUGUCUUCAUGAAGACUCAAGCAUUGACUGCAGUUGUAUCUAACCAAUGUCAACCAUCAGGACAUUUAAAAAUAUUUAAUGAUGAUGAAAUUGUUUGGUUUCCCUCCAAGGGUUUUAUCAUAAACAGGCUUACUUGAGGUGACCUAUUCCUUGAUGACUAUCUAGUGUCUACAGAAUGUCUGUUAGAAAAAGACUUCACCUAGGCCUUUGCUACUCCUGGGGGUUGUUUGCUUUUUGGCUGUAACUGCAUACAGAAGUUCCCCCAGCUAGGGAUCAACCCACUAUCGAAGUGCAACCCCAGCCACUGUAGUUGGACCCCUAACCUCCUGUGCCACAGCGAGAGCUCUGCUAUUCUGUUUCUUUUUUUUUUUUUACUGAAAUAGUAGGAAAAAGUGAGAAUAAAUUCAGGGCUAUAACUCUAUUGAUAUUCAAUAUCUGUAAACCAUGCCUGUUUCUUCUGUGUUUCUUUGACCUAUUUUAUGUAUCAAAUACAAGAGAGCAAAACCAGAAGGAAACUGCUGUUCAAAAAGUAACCCAGAACUUACCAUCUACUUUUGGUGUGGUCUGUGUGUCUCUUAAGUUGUGACUCUGUCAUAUUCAGAAGCUAAGUAUUGAAUGCAAUUAUAUCUUUCGCUUUUUGCUUGUUCAUUAGUUGAAUAAGCUGCCAGAAACCCGCCAUUUAGGCUAAGAGCUACUGUCUGUUGCUGAACUAGCUUAAAUGGUAUUCAAUAAAUAAUUAGGAAUGUCAUUAUUGAGUUUCCAUCCAAAGUCACACACAUGCUAAUAAAGAUGCCUCCAGCAUCCACAUGUCAAAUGCCAAGAAACAGAUCCACAAAUACAAGUUAGUCUGUUGUUACUCUUAUGUCGUUGGGCAAGCAUUCCAUCUAAGGUUCAUGCUAUCCCAAGAAUCGAACCAUCUCUUACUGGUCUUGGUGACAUGGUCUCUCCCUUGAUACCCAGCUGACAUACACGAACUCACCAUAGCAGAAACCAAGGCUUAUCUGGUAAAUAGUAACUGGAGUACUUCAAGUUUUGUCGUCUGUCCAAAGGAACAGGAAAAGCUGCACAUACAUCAUACAGCAUGAGGUGGAGGAGGAGGGGAGAAGGUCCCUAGACCAUAACAAGCAGCUGAUAGCUAGCUCCC